rnacentral:rRNA from 1 species
AGCAGCCGCGGUAAUUCCAGCUCCAAUAGCGUAUAUUAAAGUUGUUGCAGUUAAAAAGCUCGUAGUUGAAUUUCGGGGUUAGUAGGUUGGUCAUGCCUCUGGUAUGUACUGGUCUCACUGAUUCCUCCUUCCUUAUGAACCGUAAUGCCAUUAAUUUGGUGUUGCGGGGAAUUUGGACUGUUACUUUGAAAAAUUAGAGUGUUUAAAGCAAGCUAACGCUUGAAUACAUUAGCAUGGAAUAAUGAAAUAGGACGUUCGAUCUUAUUUUGUUGGUUUCUAGGAUUGACGUAAUGAUUAAUAGGGAUAGUUGGGGGCAUUAGUAUUCAAUUGUCAGAGGUGAAAUUCUUGGAUUUAUUGAAGACUAACUACUGCGAAAGCAUUUGCCAAGGAUGUUUUCAUUAAUCAAGAACGAAAGUUAGGGGAUCGAAGACGAUCAGAUACCGUCGUAGUCUUAACCAUAAACUAUGCCGACUAGGGAUCGGGAUGAUGUUAAUUUUUUAAUGUACUCAUUCGGCGCCUU